UACAUGGGGUGCAAACGUUGCUCGGAAUUAUUGGGCGUAAAGCGCACGUAGGCGGUUCGUUAAGUCGGAUGUGAAAGCCCCUCGGCUCAACUGAGGAAGUGCACCCGAAACUGGCGAGCUUGAGUACGAAAGAGGAUCGCGGAAUUCCCGGUGUAGAGGUGAAAUUCGUAGAUAUCGGGAGGAACACCGGUGGCGAAGGCGGCGAUCUGGGUCGAUACUGACGCUGAGGUGCGAAAGCGUGGGGAGCAAACAGG
rnacentral:rRNA from 1 species